AUUGAACGCUGGCGGAAUGCUUUACACAUGCAAGUCGAACGGCAGCACGGGAGCUUGCUCCUGGUGGCGAGUGGCGAACGGGUGAGUAAUGCGUCGGAACGUACCGAGUAAUGGGGGGAUAACGCAGCGAAAGCUGUGCUAAUACCGCAUACGCCCUGAGGGGGAAAGUGGGGGAUCGCAAGACCUCACGUUAUUCGAGCGGCCGACGUCUGAUUAGCUAGUUGGUGGGGUUAAGGCCUACCAAGGCGACGAUCAGUAGCGGGUCUGAGAGGAUGAUCCGCCACACUGGAACUGAGACACGGUCCAGACUCCUACGGGAGGCAGCAGUGGGGAAUUUUGGACAAUGGGGGCAACCCUGAUCCAGCCAUUCCGCGUGAGUGAAGAAGGCCUCGGGUUGUAAAGGCUCUUUCUAGCUGGAACGAAACGGUACAUCCUAAUACGGUGUGCUAAUGACGGUACCAGCAGAAGAAGACACCGGCUAACUACGUGCCAGCAGCCGCGGUAAU
rnacentral:rRNA from 1 species